rnacentral:piRNA from 1 species
UGCUGCUGUCUCGUGUGUUCCAGCCA